UGUGUGUGUGUGUGUGCUUAUGUGUGUGAGUGUGCACUUAUGUGUGACUAUCUGGACUAGCACUUUCUUUGGAGCGUUUGGUGUUGUUGUUCAACUGCCACUGAUAGUGGUCCCACAGAAGCAGGAACAGAACAUGGGGAGGGUGAGAGUGCUCCUGUGAAGGCAAGCCCAGAGCAGACAGACAGCGAGGGUGAGACAGGGCAAGGGGCCCUAUGAAGGCAGACCCUGAGUGAGACAAGGCCUACCGAGAGAGAGAGAGCCUGCAUGAUGGUGCCAAUCGGGCAGCAACAGAAGGUGACAUGGAGGAAAGGAAGUAAGGAAAGGAACAAUGUGGGAAUAAGGACAAAAAUUUGUCAUUUGUCAAUUUGUCAAAUUUUGUCAUGUUUUGGUUUCAGUACUGUUUACAUGAUCACAUUAAACCAUGGUAAACUGGCCACACACAGGCCUGCACCUACCCAAAAGGGCAGAAUGGGCAAAAGGGCAAAGCAGAGUAAACAUGCAAAUGUUGCAUGCCCAAGUUUGUAAAUAAAACAAAUACAACUUAUGCCCCAA